rnacentral:misc_RNA from 1 species
CCUCCUUUCUAAGGACGCCGGAGAUGCUUUAUGCUUAUCUCCGGAUAGUCAAAGUCGAAACAGACUCUCUUCUCUUCUCUCCCUUUUCUCCUGUAAAUUCUAAGUUAUGAAUUUAGAGCAACGAAAGAAUACAGUUCGUUACUGUGGACUCCUAAUUUCAAGAGGGGCCUGUAGCUCAGCUUGGUUAGAGCGCAUCCCUGAUAAGGAUGAGGCCGGUGGUUCAAGUCCACCCAGGCCCACCAGCUCAUUUUUGAUAUGGAUUUGGAUUUAGUGACUAUAAUGGUGGCAAAUCUAAGGCAUGGUAAUCCAAAUCAGAUAUUAAAGAUCGGGGGAUUAGCUCAGCUGGUAGAGCGCCUGCUUUGCAAGCAGGAGGUCAGCGGUUCGAACCCGCUAUCCUCCACCAAAUUAAUGAACAGUAAAAAAGGUGGUGCAGCUUAAGCAGAAGAUAAGCUUCAGCAAUUAUUUAA